CCCCCAGUAGCGGCGAGCGAACGGGGAGGAGCCCAGAGCCUGAAUCAGUGUGUGUGUUAGUGGAAGCGUCUGGAAAGGCGCGCGAUACAGGGUGACAGCCCCGUACACAAAAAUGCACAUAUUGUGAGCUCGAUGAGUAGGGCGGGACACGUGGUAUCCUGUCUGAAUAUGGGGGGACCAUCCUCCAAGGCUAAAUACUCCUGACUGACCGAUAGUGAACCAGUACCGUGAGGGAAAGGCGAAAAGAACCCCGGCGAGGGGAGUGAAAAAGAACCUGAAACCGUGUACGUACAAGCAGUGGGAGCCUCUUUAUGGGGUGACUGCGUACCUUUUGUAUAAUGGGUCAGCGACUUAUAUUCUGUAGCAAGGUUAACCGAAUAGGGGAGCCGAAGGGAAACCGAGUCUUAACUGGGCGUUAAGUUGCAGGGUAUAGACCCGAAACCCGGUGAUCUAGCCAUGGGCAGGUUGAAGGUUGGGUAACACUAACUGGAGGACCGAACCGACUAAUGUUGAAAAAUUAGCGGAUGACUUGUGGCUGGGGGUGAAAGGCCAAUCAAACCGGGAGAUAGCUGGUUCUCCCCGAAAGCUAUUUAGGUAGCGCCUCGUGAAUUCAUCUCCGGGGGUAGAGCACUGUUUCGGCAAGGGGGUCAUCCCGACUUACCAACCCGAUGCAAACUGCGAAUACCGGAGAAUGUUAUCACGGGAGACACACGGCGGGUGCUAACGUCCGUCGUGAAGAGGGAAACAACCCAGACCGCCAGCUAAGGUCCCAAAGUCAUGGUUAAGUGGGAAACGAUGUGGGAAGGCCCAGACAGCCAGGAUGUUGGCUUAGAAGCAGCCAUCAUUUAAAGAAAGCGUAAUAGCUCACUGGUCGAGUCGGCCUGCGCGGAAGAUGUAACGGGGCUAAACCAUGCACCGAAGCUGCGGCAGCGACACUAUGUGUUGUUGGGUAGGGGAGCGUUCUGUAAGCCUGUGAAGGUGGCCUGUGAGGGUUGCUGGAGGUAUCAGAAGUGCGAAUGCUGACAUAAGUAACGAUAAAGCGGGUGAAAAGCCCGCUCGCCGGAAGACCAAGGGUUCCUGUCCAACGUUAAUCGGGGCAGGGUGAGUCGACCCCUAAGGCGAGGCCGAAAGGCGUAGUCGAUGGGAAACAGGUUAAUAUUCCUGUACUUGGUGUUACUGCGAAGGGGGGACGGAGAAGGCUAUGUUGGCCGGGCGACGGUUGUCCCGGUUUAAGCGUGUAGGCUGGUUUUCCAGGCAAAUCCGGAAAACCAAGGCUGAGGCGUGAUGACGAGGCACUACGGUGCUGAAGCGACAAAUGCCCUGCUUCCAGGAAAAGCCUCUAAGCAUCAGGUAACAUCAAAUCGUACCCCAAACCGACACAGGUGGUCAGGUAGAGAAUACCAAGGCGCUUGAGAGAACUCGGGUGAAGGAACUAGGCAAAAUGGUGCCGUAACUUCGGGAGAAGGCACGCUGAUAUGUAGGUGAAGCGACUUGCUCGUGGAGCUGAAAUCAGUCGAAGAUACCAGCUGGCUGCAACUGUUUAUUAAAAACACAGCACUGUGCAAACACGAAAGUGGACGUAUACGGUGUGACGCCUGCCCGGUGCCGGAAGGUUAAUUGAUGGGGUUAGCGGUAACGCGAAGCUCUUGAUCGAAGCCCCGGUAAACGGCGGCCGUAACUAUAACGGUCCUAAGGUAGCGAAAUUCCUUGUCGGGUAAGUUCCGACCUGCACGAAUGGCGUAAUGAUGGCCAGGCUGUCUCCACCCGAGACUCAGUGAAAUUGAACUCGCUGUGAAGAUGCAGUGUACCCGCGGCAAGACGGAAAGACCCCGUGAACCUUUACUAUAGCUUGACACUGAACAUUGAGCCUUGAUGUGUAGGAUAGGUGGGAGGCUUUGAAGUGUGGACGCCAGUCUGCAUGGAGCCGACCUUGAAAUACCACCCUUUAAUGUUUGAUGUUCUAACGUUGGCCCGUAAUCCGGGUUGCGGACAGUGUCUGGUGGGUAGUUUGACUGGGGCGGUCUCCUCCUAAAGAGUAACGGAGGAGCACGAAGGUUGGCUAAUCCUGGUCGGACAUCAGGAGGUUAGUGCAAUGGCAUAAGCCAGCUUGACUGCGAGCGUGACGGCGCGAGCAGGUGCGAAAGCAGGUCAUAGUGAUCCGGUGGUUCUGAAUGGAAGGGCCAUCGCUCAACGGAUAAAAGGUACUCCGGGGAUAACAGGCUGAUACCGCCCAAGAGUUCAUAUCGACGGCGGUGUUUGGCACCUCGAUGUCGGCUCAUCACAUCCUGGGGCUGAAGUAGGUCCCAAGGGUAUGGCUGUUCGCCAUUUAAAGUGGUACGCGAGCUGGGUUUAGAACGUCGUGAGACAGUUCGGUCCCUAUCUGCCGUGGGCGCUGGAGAACUGAGGGGGGCUGCUCCUAGUACGAGAGGACCGGAGUGGACGCAUCACUGGUGUUCGGGUUGUCAUGCCAAUGGCACUGCCCGGUAGCUAAAUGCGGAAGAGAUAAGUGCUGAAAGCAUCUAAGCACGAAACUUGC
rnacentral:rRNA from 1 species